UGGUUGGGGGUCACCACAACAUGAGGAACUAUAUUAAAGGGUCAUGGCAUUAGGAAGGUGGAGAACCACUGCUCUACCUGGUUCAUAGACACCAGAAGCUGGAGGUCACCUAGCUUCUCAUGGCAGAGCAGGACUGCAACCUGAGUCUGCACCAAAGCUUGCCCUCCACCAGUACCUCUCUCCUGCACCUCAGGUAAAGGUUUCCUGUUUAUUCCUCAUUCCCUGUGGGUGUCCUUGGCUAACGGCCACCUGUAACUGCACUCAUGUCCUGAGCUCUCUCUGAGGAUUGUCUGGAAAACACACACACAGCUGCAGGCAGUAAACUACCUACCAGACACCAGCAAUCCCCACUGCCCACAUGAUCACAAAUACUUGAACGUGUAUUCAUUACCAGGACAAAUAUUGGGUGGCUUUUACUUAAUCCUGUCUUCUCCCAGCCAAACGACUUCAUAACACAGUAGACAUCAAGCUCGGUGUACUUUCCUCUGUGAGGCUUCCAGCCCACAAACCCACAUCAGGACCACUCCUUUCCACUCCUUACUGCUAAUAGACACAAAUAAAAAUGAUGCCCGUUACUCAAUAUAAUUCUUCUUCCUUACUUUCAAUUCCCUAAUUCAUGUGAGCACAACAACCAACCGUAUCAAGAAAUGGCUAAUAGAGUGAAUACUAUUAGAAAUUAGACUAAAAUAGACACAAUCAUUUUUUUUCAAGUAAAAGCAAAGGUAAGCUUCCUGAUCAAAAAGCAAUAUAAGGAAUUGUACCAGAGACAAUUAGACUGAUAAUUCUAUGCCUUUUUAUUCAGUUAUUUCAAAAAUAUUUGCUGAUCAUUUGUUUCAAAAUGUACAUUUAAAAAAUCCAUACAAAAUUGUAAUUUGUUUUCAUACCAGACAGAAACAGUGAAAAAAGGAUUUUGAAAAAAGUUCACUGAAAGUAACCCACCCCCCAAAAAAGAAAAAAACAACAGAAAAAAAAACACACACAAUCAAAAACACAAACUAGAACCUUUUACAUGAGCAUAAAUACGGCAGGCACAAAAUUUCCUUGAGUUCCUUGCUGAAAUUUGGUCCAUAACAUGAACAUGAACUGGCUAAAGUAGAAAAACAAAAAGACACUUUUUGUCCACAUUUGCAUUAUGAGUUGCCCAGGGCACCAGCAGUCUCUGCUUAUCCUUCAGAUGUUUAUUAAACAAGAGGAACUGAAAAAUGAGGUUUAAUCUCACCCAUAAACACUUGAAUCUGUACCCAAGGAAGUGGUGGCACUUCCAAGCACAGGUGGAGCCUACUGGGUGAACAGGGCUGUCCAGCCAGGGAUGGUCACACCUCCGUGUCCCAGAUCUUAUUCUCGGACACUGACUUAUUAAUGCCCCUUCAUGAGGAUAGUUUUUUUCCUUUUCAACAGAUU